UUCCCUUUGUCAUCCUAUGCCUGAGCCAUGGCCGAGGCUGGGACGGUGAAGGGAGGC
rnacentral:pre_miRNA from 1 species